UACGAGAGGCCCAAACGUUAUUCGGAAUUACUGGGCUUAAAGAGUUCGUAGGCGGCGCAGAAAGUAGGGUGUGAAAGCCCUCGGCUUAACCGAGGAAUUGCGCUCUAAACUACUGUGCUUGAGGAACCUAGAGGUGAGCAGAACUGAUGGUGGAGCGGUGAAAUGCGUUGAUAUCAUCAGGAAUACCGGAGGCGAAGGCGGCUCACUGGGGGUUUUCUGACGCUGAGGAACGAAAGCCAGGGGAGCGAAACGGGG
rnacentral:rRNA from 1 species